rnacentral:lncRNA from 1 species
GGAAAAACAAAAAUGGAAUGUAUAAAUUAUAUCUGUAUAUCCAAGUUUCUAUAAAAAAUAAGCAAUUAUUUUUUUAAUGCUGUUUUCCAAUUAUUGAUUGAUUGCUAUAUUUUGAAACUGCUGACUAACUAUUGAAGUGAUGAACUUUCUACAUAUGUGGAAAGUUCAUCACUUCACUUCAAAAGUUAGUCAGCAGAACAUUACAGCAGCAUUUUUGAUAGGUUCAUUCACUCAGGCUGAACCUAUCAAAAAUGCUUCUAAAGUAUGUUGUUCCAAUUCAAUCCUGGAGUCUCUAGACGAUGGAUUGGAUAAAGAUAGUAAGUCCAUAAUACUUAAACAAACUGCUUUAUAAUUACUCAGUAAUACUGUAAUACCCACUAGUUAUUACUGGAUAAAGAUGAAUGAAUUACUUUAUUAUGUG